rnacentral:misc_RNA from 1 species
GAUGAAGAACGUAGCGAAAUGCGAUACUUGGUGUGAAUUGCAGAAUCCCGUGAACCAUCGAGUCUUUGAACGCAAGUUGCGCCCGAAGCCAUUAGGCCGAGGGCACGCCUGCCUGGGCGUCACACGUCGUUGCCCCCCCCAUCUACUCCUUCGGGAUUGCGGGGGGCGGAUGAUGGCCUCCCGUGCGCCUCGUCGCGCGGUUGGCAUAAAUGCCAAGUCCUCGGCGACGCACGCCACGACAAUCGGUGGUUGCGAAACCUCGGUUGCCCGUCGUGUGCGGUCGUCGCGCAUCGAGGGCUCGAAAAAAUUGCCGGGCUCCGGCUCGACUUUCAACGCGACCCCAGGUCAGGCGGGGUUACCCGCUGAAUUUAAGCAUAUCAAUAAGCGGAGG